GACGAACGCUGGCGGCGUGCCUAAUACAUGCAAGUAGAACGCUGAAGGAGGAGCUUGCUCUUCUGGAUGAGUUGCGAACAGGUGAGUAACGCGUAGGUAACCUGCCUGGUAGCGGGGGAUAACUAUUGGAAACGAUAGCUAAUACCGCAUAAGAGUAGAUGUUGCAUGACAUUUGCUUAAAAGGUGCAAUUGCAUCACUACCAGAUGGACCUGCGUUGUAUUAGCUAGUUGGUGGGGUAACGGCUCACCAAGGCGACGAUACAUAGCCGACCUGAGAGGGUGAGCGGCCACACUGGGACUGAGACACGGCCCAGACUCCUACGGGAGGCAGCAGUAGGGAAUCUUCGGCAAUGGACGGAAGGCUGACCGAGAAACGCCGAGUGAGUGAAGAAGGUUUUCGGAUCGUAAAGCUCUGUUGUAAGAGAAGAACGAGUGUGAGAGUGGAAAGUUCACACUGUGACGGUAUCUGACCAGAAAGGGACGGCUAACUACGUG
rnacentral:rRNA from 1 species